ACCCUCUCAGGGUCACACCUGGAGAGUUUCAAGAACUCUACCAGUCUCGACUAUGGGAGAGAGAGUCAAGCAGAGGUACACCCAUUAGAUUCCUAGCUUGGCCAGUGGCUAGCGAGUAGAAAGCUAUCUGCUACAAGU